AUCUUUUAGUGCGGAUGCUUAGUUCAUGGAGUUCAAUUUAUAGCCAUACGAAAUCAAUCAUUUUUUUUUCAUUUCAUAUAGGAACAAUUGCACCAUUGAUCCUUAAAUUCAUUGUCUAAAUUGCAAGUUACUUGGUUGCAACAUUUAAAAUGGAAGGAGUUGAUCUUCAACCUUAACUGUUGUUGUACAAAUAGUGCUAGGUUUAUGUUAAAAUAGGACAUAAAAGUUAUAUGUUCAUUUUGUUGAAUAUAAAUCCGUAAAUGCUUAUAUAUAAUACGAGAGCGAAUCAAGAAAAAGGGAAAAGGAAACCUUAAUGCACCCUAGUUCAACCCAUCACUAUCCUAAAAUAAAAUGGCGACGACCCCAACCCCUUCUCUAAUCCUGAUUCGAUAUGUCCUUCCGCUUAAACCAUAUUGCCAAAAGGAAAUGAUGAUUUUGGCGACAUGGCGUUAACUGGAAGUACUUGUGCAUAAACAUAAAACAUUUAGUGACUAACUUAUUCAUUUUCAAAGUUAAGGGCAGCCUCACGACUUGGUCAAUAAGUUGGAGAUUAAGGCCAUCUCCAGCGAUGCACCAAAUUUUACACCAUUUUGCACCAAAUUCUGUCAAACUAAAAUUCAUCUCUAACAAUUACACCAAAUAAACAGUGUUUAUUCAUUUUCUU
rnacentral:lncRNA from 1 species